AGGGCUUUGACUUGGCCUACAGAACAGUACAAUACAACUUUUGUGCAGAAUAUAAUUUAAGAUAACCAAACGAGAAUUAAAUCAAGCUAGAUGACUGACAGAUGCUUGUACAAGGCUUCCUGUUCUUUGUACACAUGCUCAUAGAGACGUUUGAACGCUUGUACAAAGCAUGCAUAAUCGAAAUACUAUCAAGCAUCAAGCUGCUUGUACAGUCCUAAUGCUUGUGCAGAUUUUUUGUACACACGCGUAAGCAUGUUUGGGCCAGUACACUUCCUUGCUUGUCGAACAUGUAGUUAUUGGUGUGGGGUCACAUUAAAACGUAAUCCGAGUAUGACGUAAAUCUGAGUAAUGUUGCAAACCCCUUGAAGAAAUUUGCAACUGUUUUGCCAUAGAAAAGUUUGUAGAACUGCAUUUUACAGCAUCGAAAUUGUACUGGAUCGUACGCAAGGAUGUUAAUGGAAUGUGAAAUAAUAGUUUGGCACAUGCGUAUGAGUUUUGUUGGUAUAUAAUGGAUCAUUGUGCUGCAACAUUUUGUAUAACUAGGCUAGCGACUAGAAGAUACAGCGAAUCACGCGUUUUACUGUUUUUGUGCCUUACAAUGAUGUUUGGUUUGUGUUCCACGAACUGUACUGAGCUUAAAAACCAUUAGUACUGACAACUUUUUGUUGUGCCAAUCUGCGACUCAGCAUCUCCGCUCUAUGUUACAGAAGCGCACACCUAAUUUUAGAUUCGAUGAAGACACAUAUUGGAGGGUGUCAUGAUUCCUGCAGAAUGUCAAAUGAAGAUUUUUGCAUAUGUGCUAUCGAAAGUGAAGAAUUGGUAGCGAAACAGAAUACCAAGUGGAGAAAGACGAUUGCACCAAAUUUUCGACUUGCCAGUACCCUCAGAUUUCUGGCAGCAGGAGACAGUUUUAAAAGCCUUCAGUACCUAAUUACAGUUUCGUCACAGAUUUUUUCGAGUAUAGGUCCAGAGGUUUGCAGUGACACUAUUAAAGUGCUGCAAGGAAAUGGAAAGAUGCCAAAAACAUGGACAGAAUGGACGAGAGUUGCAACAACAUGUGAAAAUCUUUGAAAUUUUCUCCAUUUUGCAUUGGUGCCCCUGGAUAGACACUGUAGCUGUACAGGCCCCUGCUAACAUGGAUGUGAAUUUUAGUUAUAAACACAGCACAAAUACAUUUGGGCUAUUGGUCAAUGUAUUUAAAGUGCUUCGGAAACCAAUGCUGCUUCAGCUAGAUAAAAGGUGAGGGUUGCCCAGAAAGUAAUGUUGACAACAAUGCUCCUGUGCGAAACAUUACAUAUAUACUAUUUGAAGUCUCCUAAGUGAGUACACCACAUUUGUCACUUCAGACAGCAUAUCUGCAGGGCAGUUUCAAAAUGGUGUCUACAGGUGAUGUACAGUACAAGCAACAUGCAGUUAUUGAAUUUCUCACUGCAGAGAAAGAAACUGUGGGGAAUAUUAACAAAUGCAUGUACAAUGUCAGUGAAACAUUUGCUGUCGAUAGAAGUACAGUUGGUCACUGGGCAUGGAGGGUGAGGUCAUCAGAAGGCAGUUUGGCAGAGAUCCACUAUUUGCAGCGGUCAAGGAGACCAUCCACGGCUGUAACACCUGAUAUGUUGCAGCGAGUUGCUGAUGUCAUUCACGAGGACGGGCGCAUUACAACUUAGCAGUUGGCGCUGCAUCUGUCAGUCACCAAAGGAUGUGUGGAUGCAGUUAUCUGUACUCAUAGAUAUUCAAAAGUGUGUAAAACAUGGGGUCUCACGAGGUCUAACGGUAGAUCACAAACUGCACAGAAAAAACAUUUGUCUCGAUUUGUUGCAAAAUUUUGAUGCUCAGGGGAAGCCUUCUUGCCCUGUAUUGCGACAGGUGAUGAAACCUGGGUUCUCCAUUUUUAGCCCGAAACAAAAUGACUCUUGAUGGAAUGGCAACAUUCCCACACCCCACAGAAGAAAAAAUUCAAAGCAACUGCUUCUGCUGGUAAGGUUAUGAUCGCCAUGUUCUGGGACUGUAGAGGUGUGAUUCUUAUUGGUGUGUUGCCAAGAGGCAGUACAUUUAAUUCAGAAGCAUAUGUGAACACAUUAACAAAACCCAAGCUGCGCUUCCGGUGACUUCAGUACCAUAGCAACCCAGGAGACGUUUCGCUGCAACAUGAUAACACUUGGUCCCAUACAAGUCUGAGGACUGCUGAACAGAUCGCAAAACGGGGUUGGACAGUUUAUCCCAUCCACCCUGCAGCCCCUCGGAUUUCCACUUGUUUGGACCAUUAAUGGAUGUCAUUCAUGGAAGACAUUUUUAGGACGAUGAGGGUGUGAUUCACAUAGUGAAGCAUCCGGCUGUACUACCAGGA